rnacentral:rRNA from 1 species
UGGGGAAUUUUGGACAAUGGGGGAAACCCUGAUCCAGCCAUCCCGCGUGUGCGAUGAAGGCCUUCGGGUUGUAAAGCACUUUUGGCAGGAAAGAAACGUCAUGGGUUAAUACCCCGUGAAACUGACGGUACCUGCAGAAUAAGCACCGGCUAACUACGUGCCAGCAGCCGCGGUAAUACGUAGGGUGCAAGCGUUAAUCGGAAUUACUGGUCGUAAAGCGUGCGCAGGCGGUUCGGAAAGAAAGAUGUGAAAUCCCAGAGCUCAACUUUGGAACUGCAUUUUUAACUACCGGGCUAGAGUGUGUCAGAGGGAGGUGGAAUUCCGCGUGUAGCAGUGAGAUGCGUAGAUAUGCGGAGGAACACCAGUGGCGAAGGCAGCCUCCUGGGAUAACACUGACGCUCAUGCACGAAAGCGUGGGGAGCAAACAGG